rnacentral:rRNA from 1 species
UAAUGUCUGGGAAACUGCCUGAUGGAGGGGGGAGUAACUACUGGAAACGGUAGCUAAUACCGCAUAACGUCGCAAGACCAAAGAGGUGGGACCUUCGGGCCUCUUGCCAUCGGAUGUGCCCAGAUGGGAUUAGCUAGUAGGUGGGGUAACGGCUCACCUAGGCGACGAUCCCUAGCUGGUCUGAGAGGAUGACCAGCCACACUGGAACUGAGACACGGUCCAGACUCCUACGGGAGGCAGCAUG